AUGGCCCGCCACCUGGGCAUGUGGCCCGCGGUGGAGGCCUGCUCCGCUCUCAUGAAGGAGCAGGAGAGGAAGCUCCGUCCUCGCGAGAACAACUGUGCCGGCCCAUGUCGCGAACGUUGCUGCCAACGCAGGGAGGGCAAAAGGAAACGGGCCUUUGGGUUGGAGGACAAUGUGAACAACGGCUUCUGUUUGCUGCUGGAUCCGACCGACGAGUCUUUCCAAGGAGGCCCGAGGCGAAACCUGCGUCGGACGCCGAAAGCUCACAACGGUCUCCCUCUGAGUCCCUCGCACAGGAUGAAGCUCAUGGACUUUAAAUCGCCCUCCUCCAAGAAAGCCAGCACGCCUCGACACGCCUCAGCCAACACGCAGUCCCAGAAUUACUCGCGGAUCUCCCCACCCAAUUCCCGUCUCCUCCGCUCCACUCCCGGGGCAGCCAAAGAGCUCCAGCGAUUGCUGCCCACACCGGAGAGUCCUCGCCGAAACCGGAGAGCCAACUCCGUCCCGCGGCUGCCACGCGUCGCAAAGACCGCCGCGUGCAGCCCCGUGCGGAUAAAGCAGGAAGUGGUAGAGGUCGGAGAGGACGAGCAGGACAGCGCGAGAGCGCAGCAGAAGUACGAGCUGAUGAGCGUCCUCGGGUUACAAAGGACCGCCCUGCUGCCCCGACCAGAGGAUCUGAUCGGCUGGAGACAGAAGAAACGACUGAGGAAGCUGAAGGCGAACAACUACUCGCUGACGAAGCGGCGGAAACCCCGCCCCGCCUCCCCGGUCCUCCCGUACGGGGCUCUGUCACUCACCCUUCCCCUGUGUGACCCCAUUAACACUCACCUCCUCAGCAAGUCGGGGAAGACCAAGCCCGCCGUUCCAGUCGGCAAAGAGCAGGCGAAGGCAAAAAAGCCCAAGGGCACCCCGAGGAGGGUGCCUCCGAGUGACCGGAGCAUGCGAAGUCAUGGCGCCUUGCCCGACAUGUUUCAAACGUUCUGCGGGCGGGAACUCAGGCGGUCGGUGAGGAAGGGCGACGGUGUCCACCACAACGCCCGGCUGCCCCGGCGACGCAGCGCCAAGAGGACUCCUGCGAGAAACCUGGUCAGGAUCAAAUCCGAACCGGUCGACUACUCCGUCUCAGGCUUCCCUAUGUCAUCCGACGGUCGCCGCGGCAACGCGCCCCACAGGUCACCGCCUCCGCCUGGGACACAAGCCAAAAGUAACGCCGCCGUCAAAACGCCGCGGUACAACAGCAGCCGGCGGGCUCCGAAGACGAAGCUUGCGCGGAGCUCCGCAGUGGAGGGGGCCAAGACCUUGAAGUGUGGACCCGGGGAAGAGGGGAUCGGGGUCUUGAACAGUGGGCUCCAGUUUUCAGAGCGUCCACAUCCGGCGUCCAUCUACAACAACCCUCUGUACAAAGUCAUCAAAGAAGAGCCCGCAGACCCCGUGCCGGUUGGCGGACCCUUCUGCGAUCCGCCCUCGCCGGACCUGGGCAAGCGGCAGAGCAAGCCCCCCAUCAAACUGCUGGACUCUGGCUUUCUUUUCAGCUUCUGUCGGCCCGCGGGGGGGCUGAAGAAAGAGGAGGAGAGCGUUGACAUCUGCCUGACGCGCUCGGUGUCACAAGUCAGACAGAGAUUCGGAGCAGAGGAGUCCCCACACAGGGCGCUGAGGGCCCGGGGGCCCACCGCCCCGCCCGCGGUGAAGGAGAGGAUUGCGAGGCAAAGCAAGGUCCAGAGACCCCGGCAGAACUCCCGACACAGCACUCCUCAACUGGCCAAAGCUGUAGAGUCAAAGGCCACAAGGGCCGUGCCGAAGCAGCAAGCAAAUGCCCCUCCGAGCGGCAGGAGCCGUGUCUCGCUGGACGCUGUACAGCGAGCGAGGCUGAAGCAGCUCCGAGGGCCUCGCAGCCAAGUGCCCAAAGUCCCGAAGGCGACACAUUCCUGUGCGCAGUGCUCGGCCUCCUACAAGGACUGUGACGCUCUCAUCAUGCAUCGCCUCCGGCACAUUGAGGGGAAGCACUGGCCGUGCCUGCUCUGCAGUAAGACGUUCUUCCGACUGAGGAAUGUACGGAACCACAUCCACACCCAUGACCCCAAGUUGUACAAAUGUCGGAGCUGCAUUGCUGCUGGCUCCUGAGGCAGCUAAACUGCGAGGCCGAGGGUGAAGGCUUUUCGGCGUGUGGCACCAGCAAACGGGCUGUGGCCGGAGGCACAUGAUCGAUGAGCAGCUUGUACAUAAUGCAUCUGUCACACACAGAACACACACACACAGAGCACAACAGACUGUGGAAAGGCAUAAUUCCGAUAGAAUACCGAUUUCUAAUCAUUGCUGUUGCCAAUGAUUGCUAACGUUAAAUAACCAAACCAAGGUUCGCUGGUCCGGUUUGCGUUUCCGUAGCAACAGAAGGUUAAACUUGAACAUUACACUCAGGGGGUGGGAGAAGGUGAUGCCACGGUAUAAAGUGAUUUUAACGUGCGUCAAAUGAAAUGUAAAGUGAUUGUUAUAACUAUUACUGCUACUUAUUGUUAUUAUUUUUGUAUGUAUAGAUGCAUUUUGAGUGCACUUAUAUAAUAGCUUACGUUGUUAACCUAAGAGGGGGUCGACGGUUUGGAGGUCUUGGCGGGUGAACUUGACGUGAUGGAAGUUUUGGAGGGAAUACUUGAAGUUAGGGGUGAAAGGGGUGGGGGGGCGUCCUAGGAGAGAGAGAGAGACUGUCCUUCUUGGGUGUUUCAUUGGGUCUUUGUGCUUUUUGGUGUGCUAACUUUAAAAGCAUCUUGAACAGUCCGUCCCUCCUUGCGUAUUUAUCUCACUUAUCUCUCAUGGUCUGUGAGUCGGAGACUCACUCCGGGCUGGUAUGGUGACACCACUGCAUGUGUAUUUGCAGGCCAUUUGUGGUCCACUGUCUUUUCUAAGGCUGCCAAUUUUAAAAAAAGGGCAAAUGAUCUUGGUUUUAAUGUGGAAUUCUGACUAGUAAUCUGCAAAUGUGUCACAACAGAUUGAUCGCUUCCACUUUGAUCCAAGAAAAGACACUUCUUGUUCCACUCAAAUGUCCCCUUCUGAAUCAAUGCAAUGCGUACACAUUAAAGAGAUAUUUAAGUUUCACAAAUUGAUUUUAGAAAUAAAUGAGCUGUCUAUUGCUAUCUGUUAAACGGAAUAAAUUUUUGCCUUUCGUUUUUCUGGCUUUGACAUGUUUAAUUGAGAGGAAUAAAGGGCCGUGUGCAGUGCACUGUCAUGGAGCAAAACAUUAAUUGAGAUUCCAUCCCUGACGAAAAUAUAAUUGUUGAAAAAUAACUUUCAGGAGAUUAUUCUAUUCUAUUAUUCUGGGAGGGAAAUACAAAUAUAUCAAAUGUCCACGAUGAAUAGCUUCAUGCAUGUAUUCCUACUUUGCAUCCUUUUUCACUGAUUCAUCUGCAGCGAAAAUAAAGGUUGUAUUAUUACGAGUGCAGCAAGACAAGCUGAAGACGUACUGACUCAUGUUCAACCGAUUUAAUAAGAAGCCCUGAUGAGCCCUCUGAACGCAUUAAACCAUUACACCGAGGAAUUCAAACAGAAAAUGUUCAUGGACAGGUGAGAGCAACUAACAUUUAGAUGCUUGCGAAAUAAAAAUGUCACAAUUGUUAUAAAAAAAUAUUCAAAACAUAAAAUUGGGCAUUAAUUCACAAAACCUGGAACUAAAACAUAACAUAUUUGAAAAUAGCAAUUUAAGUGAUUCAAUAAAAAUCCAAAUAUAUUAAAUUAUGUGUUAUACUUCAAAUGUAUUACAGUAGCACAUGUAAAUCACAUGAGCAGAGAAACAAGAGUUUUUUGAUAAUUUCAAAACAAUUUAUUUUUUUUCCCCCUCAUGCACUUUGCUGCACACUACAAGUAGAGACAUGGUAUUUAUUCUCAGUCAGUUCACAACAUGUCUUGGUCCUGGAGAGAACACUCUGCAGGGUACAGGUACCAGACCAAUCAUGCUGAGGGGUCUCAGCAGGGGGUAAGCAAAGGCCCCACGACCUGUGGGCGCUGGUCGAAGUGCGGGCUGCACAGACUGCCGUGGCGGUCGUAGGCAGCAUCAAGAGAUUUUUGUCGAAUAUGGGGGUCUCGAGUAGGCACUUCUCUUUCCCUUCCUCUUUAGAAUCAACAUGGAGGGCCAGCUCAUGGGCACCCUGACGGGCCUCCAGAACGUCUUCACUCGAAAUGACGAGGUGCGGCAGAGGG
ensembl:lncRNA